rnacentral:rRNA from 1 species
AUUGAACGCUGGCGGCAGGCCUAACACAUGCAAGUCGAGCGGAACGGCGGACGGGUGAGUAAUGCCUAGGAAUCUGCCUGGUAGUGGGGGAUAACGUCCGGAAAAGGGCGCUAAUACCGCAUACUAUCAGAUGAGCCUAGGUGGCAGUAGCUAGUUGGUGGGGUAAAGGCCUACCAAGGCGACGAUCCGUAACUGGUCUGAGAGGAUGAUCAGUCACACUGGAACUGAGACACGGUCCAGACUCCUACGGGAGGCAGCAGUGGGGAAUAUUGGACAAUGGGCGAAAGUCUGACCCAGCCACGCCGCGUGCUUGAAGAAGGUUUUCGGAUUGUAAAGCACUGUAAGUUGGGAGGCGUUACCAACAGAAUAAGCACCGGCUAACUUCGUGCCAGCAGCCGCGGUAAUAC